rnacentral:rRNA from 1 species
GCUAGGAGCUAGCUCUCUUCAACUCACAGGGUUGCCCACUGAAGCUAAACAAGGCUGCGCUCGGUCAGUACCUGGAUGGGAGACCACAUGGGUACACUAGGUUACUGCCAGAA